GAUGAAGAACGCAGCGAAAUGCGAAAAGUAGUGUGAAUUGCAGAAUUCAGUGAAUCAUCGAAUCUUUGAACGCACAUUGCGCCCGCCAGUAUUCUGGCGGGCAUGCCUGUCUGAGCGUCAUUUCAACCCUCAUGCCCCUAGGGCGUGGUGUUGGGGAUCGGCCAAAGCCCGCGAGGGACGGCCGGCCCCUAAAUCUAGUGGCGGACCCGUCGUGGCCUCCUCUGCGAAGUAGUGAUAUUCCGCAUCGGAGAGCGAUGAGCCCCUGCCGUUAAACCCCCAACUUUCCAAGGUUGACCUCAGAUCAGGUAGGAAUACCCGCUGAACUUAAGCAUAUCAAUAAGCGGAGGA
rnacentral:misc_RNA from 1 species